rnacentral:rRNA from 1 species
GGCGAGCGAACGCGGAUUAGCCCAAACCGGUCCAGUUACGGCUGUACCGGGGUUGUAGGACUACAAUAUGGACUAUAAAGACGAAUUAGAACGACUUGGGAAAGUCGGCCGUAGAGGGUGAGAGCCCCGUACAAGUAAAGCUUUAUUACCUAGUAGUAUCCUGAGUAGGGCGGGACCGGAGAAAUCCCGUCUGAAUCUGCCGGCACCAUCCGGUAAGGCUAAAUACUACUGAGAGACCGAUAGUGAACAAGUACCGUGAGGGAAAGGUGAAAAGUACCCCGGGAGGGGAGUGAAAUAGUACCUGAAACCGAUCGCCUACAAUCCGUCGGAGCCUCCUUGUGGGGUGACGGCGUGCCUUUUGAAGAAUGAGCCUGCGAGUUAGUGGUACGUGGCGAGGUUAACCCGUGUGGGGAAGCCGUAGCGAAAGCGAGUCUGAA